UACGUAGGCAGCAAGCGUUGUUCGGAGUUACUGGGCGUAAAGGGUGCGUAGGCGGCCUUAUAAGUAUGGUGUGAAAUCUCCCGGCUUAACUGGGAGGGUGCGCUAUAGACUGUGGGGCUAGAGUGUGGGAGAGGAAAGUGGAAUUCCUGGUGUAGCGGUGAAAUGCGUAGAUAUCAGGAGGAACACCCGGUGGUGUAAACGGCUUUCUGGACCAUAAACUGACGCUGGAGGCAACGAAAGCGUGGGUAGCAAACAGGA
rnacentral:rRNA from 1 species